AGUUGUCCAAUCUCGCGGACCAUCUCGCACAUGCGCACUGCUGAUCGGGCAGAGCUGCAGAUCGGGUAGUGACCAUGGAUGUAUAAUAAGAACGGUAGUGACUGUGACAGGCAUAGAUAUAUAAACACUAGAUGGCUCAUGGGAGAUUUUCCAGCGUAGCUGACCGGCCGCCAUCUUGCUACAGUCAACAGUUACUCUGAUUAGCGUAUGGUAGCUGUUGUAAGAAGUACCUGACUAUGCCGGACUUUUGUGCAGCCUACGGAUGCUCUAAUCACCGCAGUCUGCAAACAAGAACCCGUGGGAUCACCUUUCACGUGUUUCCCAAAACCGAAGAGAGGAGGAGGCAGUGGGAACUCGCCCUAAGAAGGGACAUCUUCAGGUUCCAUGAGACGCAGCACUAUGUUCCCCACAUAUGUUUAUGUUUGCUCAGUCUAAUAAACCCAUAACAUGGUUGUGAAAGAAUACCAAA